rnacentral:rRNA from 1 species
AGAGUUUGAUCAUGGCUCAGGACGAACGCUGGCGGCGUGCUUAACACAUGCAAGUCUACGAGAACGAGGUAGCAAUAUCUUUAUUAAAGUGGCGCACGGGUGAGUAACGCGUAGGUAAUCUACCCUUGGGUUUGGAAUAAUCCGCCGAAAGGCGGACUAAUACCGGAUAAAAUCUUUCAGAGGGAUCUGAAAGAUCAAAGGUGGCCUCUCCAUGGAUGCUACUGCCUGAGGAUGAGCCUGCGUCCCAUUAGCUUGUUGGUAGGGUAAUGGCCUACCAAGGCUACGAUGGGUAGCUGGUCUGAGAGGAUGACCAGUCACACUGGAACUGGAACACGGUCCAGACUCCUACGGGAGGCAGCAGUGAGGAAUAUUGCGCAAUGGGGGAAACCCUGACGCAGCGACGCCGCGUGGGUGAAGAAGGCCUUCGGGUCGUAAAGCCCUGUCUAGAGGGAAGAAAUUCUCAAUGGAAUAAUACCCAUUGAGAUUGACGGUACCUCUGGAGGAAGCACCGGCUAACUCCGUGCCAGCAGCCGCGGUAAUACGGAGGGUGCGAGCGUUGUUCGGAAUUACUGGGCGUAAAGCGGGUGUAGGCGGUUUGUUAAGUCAGAUGUGAAAGCCCACGGCUCAACCGUGGAAGUGCAUCUGAAACUGGCAGACUUGAGUACCGGAGAGGGAAGUGGAAUUCCUGGUGUAGGGGUGAAAUCCGUAGAUAUCAGGAGGAACACCGGUGGCGAAGGCGGCCAACUGGCCCGGUACUGACACUCAGGGACGAAAGCGUGGGGAGCGAACCGGAUUAGAUACCCUAGUAGUCC